UACGUAGGUGGCAAGCGUUGUCCGGAUUUACUGGGCGUAAAGCGUGCGCAGGCGGUUGUGUAAGACAGGUGUGAAAUCCCCGGGCUUAACCUGGGAAUUGCAUUUGUGACUGCACGGCUAGAGUGUGUCAGAGGGGGGUAGAAUUCCACGUGUAGCAGUGAAAUGCGUAGAUAUGUGGAGGAAUACCGAUGGCGAAGGCAGCCCCCCUGGGAUAACACUGACGCUCAUGCACGAAAAGCGUGGGGGAGCAAAACAGG
rnacentral:rRNA from 1 species